CCUGAGCGCACACACUGCACGUUUUUUUCCCCUUUUCUUUUCGUGGAAAGACGCACUUCUUCAACUGCCUCAUUGCGUUUCCUAAAUACUGGCAUUACAGGGCAGAAAGAACUAUUAAAAUGAUGUAAAUGGGGGAAAAGUCUGCCAUCCAUAAAGCUUUCGUUUACCGCAAAAGUGUCUUUUCUUAACAUCGUAUUUUUACUCAUUGUCUUCUCACCAGAGUGCCGGACAACUGCGGACGGGCGACGCAACGGAAAAGGGACAAAAGCAAAGGUAGAGUAACUUUGAUGCUUUGGCUGCCCUGGAACAUUGCGGUGUCUUUACCUGGGCAGUUCAGCGAAUUGUCUGCUUGUUCGGGAGUCCAGAGGGAUUUCCAUCGGUGGGGUGGGGGAGCAGAAAUCCAUUCCCUACAGUUUCCUUCCAGCUCUACUGUGAUUCACACAACAGCGACGCUGACCUGCCACCAGCAAUGCGAUCGUAACGGGACACGUCGGGGAUCGACUGGGACAGGAGGAGCCGAUCCUAGACGUAAGAGUCCCUGAGGGUACGGGGUGACCCGGGGUGGCCAGGAGCCACACAAAGAUCCGGUGCAGUUUGUACAACGCACACCCGCUGGCAGAGACGCACGAACCCUCUUGCGUUCCUCCGUGUGCGCGUAGAAAACGAGUCGUGGCCGAGCCCUGAGCCGGAGCUGCCUUCAGAGUGACGCACCUCCGGUCUUCUCUAAAAUAGGGAUUGCAUCAGAUGCUACGAAAGAGUCAAGUACGCUUUUUCCCACGGAGCUCUGAAUUCCUGCCGUGUUUACACUCCGCCCACGACCGCGAGCCCAUCUCUUCGCAACGUCCUCAGACGGAGACAGUCUGCGCGUGGCUCAUAGAGAAGAGCCGAUGCCAUUGCGUGUUCGCCAGUUUAUUAAUAAAUGUUGUCUAAUCAGUCA
rnacentral:lncRNA from 1 species